rnacentral:piRNA from 1 species
AGGAAGAGACAAGAUGGAGA